AUUGAACGCUGGCGGAAUGCUUUACACAUGCAAGUCGAACGGCAGCACGGGGGCAGCCCUGGUGGCGAGUGGCGAACGGGUGAGUAAUACAUCGGAACGUGCCCGGUCGUGGGGAAUAACGUAGCGAAAGUUACGCUAAUACCGCAUACGAUCUGAGGAUGAAAGCGGGGGACCUUCGGGCCUCGCGCGAUCGGAGCGGCCGAUGUCAGAUUAGGUAGUUGGUGGGGUAAAGGCCUACCAAGCCGACGAUCUGUAGCUGGUCUGAGAGGACGACCAGCCACACUGGGACUGAGACACGGCCCAGACUCCUACGGGAGGCAGCAGUGGGGAAUUUUGGACAAUGGGCGCAAGCCUGAUCCAGCCAUUCCGCGUGCAGGACGAAGGCCUUCGGGUUGUAAACUGCUUUUGUACGGAACGAAAAGGCUCUGGCUAAUACCUGGGGCUCAUGACGGUACCGUAAGAAUAAGCACCGGCUAACUACGUG
rnacentral:rRNA from 1 species